GCUCAGCUGCUGUGUGCACUACCACACCAGUGACCGACCGGCUCUCUCACUCUUUAUAUUUCUCUACUGCACUGGGAGCUGCCAUGGUGGUGGUGCUGCCGUCUGAAUGGCCGUGGUUGGACUCUGGGCUGAGGCUCUGCGCUGUGGAUGUCACUGCUAUCUUCCAGUCCAUGGUCCUGCUCCUGCUCCUGGCCCUGCUGACAGCCAGCUGUUGAAGGUGUGUCUAACUGAGGGAUUGGGAAGCAGCAGCAGCCUUGGGACCAGUCAGACAUUGUCCACAGGUGAACUCCUUCCACAUAUCCAGGCAAACCUGACUUUCAGGUGUCCCACCCACACCUUUAGGACUGCUGUCCUCUCACCUGUGCAAAUAUGAAAGAGAGAGAUGGAGAGAGGUUUGGGCCUGAAAGACGUGCCAGACCUGCUGCCAAAGCAUCAGCCUCCACCUCACCCUGCAGACAUGACUGAAAACACACGCAUGCAUAACACACACACACACACACACACACAC